rnacentral:lncRNA from 1 species
CGCCUGGUGUUUGAGGCGGCCGUGGGGGGUCAGCCGAAGGCCGGGGAAGGCCGGGUCGAGACGCGGGGUCGCAUGUUCGGCUUUAUUAGUAUCGACUCCCUCUCGUCUGUAAUAGAGACCCUCCUGGGCUGCGCAGUUUCCGAACAGGGAUGUGGUCACUCCUGGCCUGAUCCCCACGCCCAGGCCCUCGGGGCUCCCAUUUGCUCGGUGGGGAAACCGAGAGCUGCAGUGCUUCCCGCCCCCCAGAGGUCCCACGUGCUCGCGGUUCCCGGGCGUCUGCUGUGUGCCUGCGUGUGCGGUCGUGUGGGAACCCGGGCCCUGCUGUGCGGGGGGCUGCCGAGGGCACUGGGGACCCCAGAGCCUCCUUCGUGGCCUGGGGGCUUCGGAGAAGACGAAGCUGUCCCAGAUUCGCUGUUCCUCCCCUCCACACUCAGCCCCCGCCAACCUGGGCCUUGGUGCCAUACUGACUUUUCUGCUGGUCAUCCAACACAGUUUCUCGAUCACGGUGCUAGUGACCAUUUGGGCCGGAUCACUGUUUGCUGUGGGGGCCGUCCUGUGCAUUGUAGGAUGGUCAGCAGCGUCUCUGGUCUCCACCCACUAGAGGCCAACAACACUCCCUCUCCGCCCGCUCCCCUCCCCCACACCUUAUGAUACCUGUCUCUGGACAUCACCUCGUUGAGAACCAUUGCUCCAAGGCAGAAAGAGCCACUCCGCAGGCUCUUUCUCAGACCAGAAUGCCCUCCUACCCCAUCCCUUCUCAACUCCUGCUGGAAAGCUCCCUAGACUAGGUAGGGUCCCAUUCCAUGCUCAGUGGCACUCAUCUAUGUUCCAUGACAGCAGGGAUGGGGUCUGCCUUUGCUACCCAAGUGUCCCCAACAAGCAGCCAGGGGCCUGAUCAGAAGCAGGUGGUACUCUUUUGAGUUGAAUGAGUGAGUUUUUGCAGCCUCCCAUACGGUUUCCAGGGCCCCCAGGUGGGCUGGAACUCAGUGUGAUCUGAGCCCGUGUGGACCUGUCUCUGCCCUGCAGGGUCUUUAUGAAGUCUCCAGUGAAUUCACACAUGUAAAACCCUUGACUUCCACCUCAACCCAAACGUUCCUUUCACUUCAGCUUUUGCCUCCCCAGCCAGAAAGGAGGCUGCCCCAGGCACCAGGAGGGCCACGUGAUCAGAGCCCAGAGCUAUGGAGGAGUAAAGAGGGGGAGACAAGGAUGAGGAGAGAGUUGCAGCCACCAGAGGUGGAGUUGGGAGUCCCUGCCCCUUGGGGUCCUCCACACCUGCAUCCAGAGCUCCCAGCACACCAGGCCCUGCCCCCUAACGUUUGCUCCAGGAUGGAAGAAGGGUGCCAUACAGGGUGGGGGUGCAGAUGUGGAAUGUGUUGCCUACCUGGCCACCUGGCAGAACGCAGUCCACCCACCUCAUCUCAGCCCAUUUCGGUCCCUACAAUAAUGAAAGGAGCUCCCGGUGCAGCUGGAGCCCCAGCCAGCCCGAUUUACCUGUCUGCUGGGAGGUGUAAUGAGGAAGGUGGGAGAGGCAGAGUCCCAGCCCCUGCCCUUGUUAGCCGUCCCCUACUUUGGAGUCAGAAAGCAAGCAAAGGGUUUGAAGUCAAUGGCCUCCAGCAAUGCUCCCACUCUCUGUGCCUGGCUCCUCUUUGGAGGGAAAAAAAAAAGGUAGUGCAGACUUGACAGGUUCAUUUUCAAAAGAGCAGUAACAGCCCUGCGGGACAAGUGAUGGGACACCAACUCUGAGGCCAGCCCUGUGGCUGGCUCUCCAGGCCAGGGAGGAAUCUUGGGGACACAGAUGGGAGGAGGGCUUGUUCCCCGAGUCUACCCCUGAGCUGGAGCCCUCAUGGAACCCUUGUAUGUAGAUUCCUCUGCAAAGCCGUUCACGGGACACCAUGGGCCCUGAGGCAGACAAGCACCCUGACACAGAGGAGACUACAGGAAAUCACCCGAGGCGCGCAGGCCAGGCCCUGCGGUGUCCAGACCCUCAGUUUGGACCCAGGCCCCUCCCCAGGUCUUGCUCCAGGACGUGGGGGCAGAGGACAACAAAAGUCCUGUUCCAGUGAGUUUACAGAACUACAGGGGUGAGGGGAGGUGAUGAGGGAGAUGCCCUACACUGCACGCUACUAAGCGCUUUGGACAAAAGUUGACAAAAGUGGAGCAGGAGAGGCAGACCCAGCAUGUCCUGGGCUGCGGGCGGUGACGGCCUCCCAGGGUUCAACUGUGGAACCAAGCAAACAUCUGGACAUACGCCCCUCCAGGCACCAGGCGUUCUUGUUUCUGGCCAACACCACCCCACCCCAGGUGCUUUUUGGGGGGACCGAACCCCUCCAACUAGACUGGGCAUCUCAUCCAGCCCCAGCCCCUCAGAGUCCAGGCCCUGCCCACUUCAAUCACAGAGUGGGGAGGGGGCUCAGGUCCCACUCACUGGGCCUGCACCAAUGCUCCCCGCCCCAGAUGCCGGAAUUCUCCAACCCACCACCCUGCCCUCUAGAAGGACGGGGGUCUGUGGGGUUUUGCUGUGUGGACAUUUGAUUCUGGUUUUGGCCACUCGGUCCAUCACCUUGGUGGUGGCACAGCCUAAACUCACUAGAAAAAAGAGGAUUAGGAGCUGGGGCGAGGUGUACCUGGAGCACCUGCCUCUCCCCACACACCCCGGGGACGUAUCUGGAGCAGACAGGACUCCCAGGGCCAGGGACUAAGAAGAAAACCCUUUUUCACACAAGUGGAGUAAAGAGAGCAGAGGUGCACUUUAACCAAGCGGGGAGUGGUGGUGCCGACAGGAGAAGUCUCCUGGGUCAUGGCUGUUGGCUCUUCCCAAGGGGAGGGAGCCAAGGGGACCCACGUGCACGUCCCACGGACUAAGGAUGCUCCUUUCUGACAUAUCUUGGGGCUCCCAUGGGUGCCCCUGCCUGCCCUGUCCUGACGGGCCUCCCCACAUGGAAGGAGUGCCGUCCUCAGGUCACUAGGGUGGUAAAUAAAGGACCUCUGAAGUCUCCCAGUCAGGAACAGAGCCCGGAAGGAACGUCAUUUCCUGUAACCAGGAAGUGACUCCAAUAACCGGGAAGUGAUUUCCCUGGGAGUGUCUCCAACCCUACUGUCGGCCUCCGUCCAAGGCUUGUUUAGCGGGUCUCACAUGCAUGGUCAGGAGCCCAGGGAGGCUGCCGGGGCAUGGGAGCCCAAGGAGACCCCUCAGCCACCCUGGGGGAGUCAGGGCGGACCUCUCGGAGGAGGACACAGGGUCCCAUCUGUAUGGAGAAAACAGGGCCCUCUGUUUACAAAGUACAAAAAUGUGGACAAGGACAGAUACAUGCCCAAUCCCCUCCCCAAGGGUGGCCACUGCCUUCUGUGACGUCCCCCGGUGACCCGUGCCUCGUAGAACAAGCCCUGUUUCUUCAGGUGGCGGGGCUUGUGGAUGCGGGGACAUCCCUCCUGACAGGUUGUUAUAUGGCAGAGGUGCGGGGAGCCCAGCAGACGCCAUCCAGCUCCUGACUAGUUAACCUGGAGUUAAUCAGAAGUCGAUGCCAUGCUGAAUUUCAUGUGUCGUCUUGACUGGGCCCCAGGAUGCCCAGAUAUUCAGCACCUUCUCCCCGUGUCCUCGCCCACCCUCCCUCUGUGCGCGUCUGUGUCCUCAUCCCUCUUGUGAUACGCCCCCAGUCAGACGGGAUGAGGGCCAACUCUAAUGACCUGACUUUAACUUAAUCACCUCCUUAAUCACCCCGUCUCCAAGUACAGCGUCGCAUUCUGAGGUACAAGGGGUUAGGACUUCGACAUAUGAUGGGGGGGACACACAAUUUAGCCCAUCACAUUCCUUCUCUCUGAAGAAAAGAUGUGAAACAAACAUGACUGCUCUGUGUUCUGAAUUGGGGACACCGGGAAACUUCCAUCUGUAAAUUUUUACAAUAGAUUUUAAGGGAAACCAAGUCCCUCUGGGACUGAGUGAGAGAGAGGAGCAGAUGAGGAGGGUGGAGGCAGGGAGGGACAAGCCUCAUCUGGGCUCCCAGCCUGGACCUGAUGCCUCAGUUUCCCCCCUUUCCAGAUCGGAGGGAAAUUUAGGGGCAGAGUCUCUACAUCCCAGGUGCAGCAAGGCCUGCAAAGGAGGUUGAAGCAGAGACCUGAGGUCUGGGCACUACCUCUGUCCCAAACAUUCCAUGGCUCGCCAUCACUCUUGUCCUCAUAACCCAACUCCUACCUGGCUUACAAAGCCCUGUGGGUCUGGCCCCAUCCAAUUCUCUGACUUCACCUCCUCCCAUCGCUCCCUCUCUCACUCCAUUCAAGCUUGCUCCUGCCUCAGGGCCUUUGUACUCACUGUGUCCUCUGCCUGGGAAGCUCCUGGCUGCCACCUCUCCUACUCAGGUUGCAGGGCAACUAUAUUCUUCUCAGAGAGGACUUCUCCAUCUGAAGGAGCACCCUUCCACCAUCCAGCCUCCAACUUACCGCCUGUUCUCAACGCCUGCACAGCACAUCUGAAGCUGGUAUUUUCCUGUUUACAGGUGUCUCCCUCCAAGACUUCUACAGGGACAGACUGAGCUUGUCUUGCUCACCACUGCACUCUCAGUCUCUGCACACAAGAGUGCUCAAUAAAUGUUUGUUGAAUGACUAAAUGCCCCUCCCCAGUUGCAAGGGCUGGGAUGGGGAAAGGAGCCUGGUGAAUAUCUUCUACUACCUCAGCAAACAUCAGAUGAAGCCAGCCCCCAGCUGUGGGUGCUUCUUAUCAGUGACCCAGACAGGAGGAAAAGGGCCCAAAAGUCCGGGUCACACACCGUGUGCAGCUACAGCAGGGCCUCCCGGCACCAGCCUGGGGUGUUGGCGCCCCCUGGUGGAGUGUCCCAGGUCAGAGCAGGGUCGGUCGCCCUCUGUGGUUCCAGGCCUGGCCUGCAGAUGUUGCCGUUGGCUCCUGGGGGCACAGAUGCAAGACAGCUCCUGGGGCUGAGCUAGCAGAGGUCAUGCCCCAGCCUUGCAGUGGCGGACCCUGCCUGGCCUUGGGGCCUGGGCCCUGACCUCCAAUCCUCCAGACACCUGGGGGUCCACUCUUCCCGGCCCCUUGCCAAGGGACCCUGACCGUCCUCUCUGGACCUGAAAGCAACAGGAAGAAAACCCGCUGGGCCAUUCCCUAACACCUGCACGCGCACACACGCACACACACGCAACCUGCCCUGGCCAAGACAGAGGUUGAGAAAGUGAGAUCAAGAGACACACGAGGCCCUGACAUGCUGUAGCACAGCACACUGUGGUAUUGGGUGUGGGAGGGGCGGCGGUCAGCAAGUACGAGCAGGCAGCACUGGGCAUCUGGUCGACCUACUGCUGCCCACACAUGCUCACGGGCGCCUGGAGCUCUGCCUGCUCUGGCACCAGACACCUUCACCACACAGGCCGCCACACUCAGCGCCUGCUGCCGC